GAUGAACGCUGGCGGCGUGCCUAAUACAUGCAAGUCGAGCGAACGGACGAGAAGCUUGCUUCUCUGAUGUUAGCGGCGGACGGGUGAGUAACACGUGGAUAACCUACCUAUAAGACUGGGAUAACUUCGGGAAACCGUAGCUAAUACCGGAUAAUAUUUUGAACCGCAUGGUUCAAAAGUGAAAGACGGUCUUGCUGUCACUUAUAGAUGGAUCCGCGCUGCAUUAGCUAGUUGGUAAGGUAACGGCUUACCAAGGCAACGAUGCAUAGCCGACCUAAGAGGGUGAUCGGCCACACUGGAACUGAGGCACGGUCCAGACUCCUACGGGAGGCAGCAGUAGGGAAUCUUCCGCAAUGGGCGAAAGCCUGACGGAGCAACGCCGCGUGAGUGAUGAAGGUCUUCGGAUCGUAAAACUCUGUUAUUAGGGAAGAACAUAUGUGUAAGUAACUGUGCACAUCUUGACGGUACCUAAUCAGAAAGCCACGGCUAACUACGUG
rnacentral:rRNA from 1 species